CGAAGGAAAAUUGGAUCAACUCCCCUCCUCUCGAUCCCUCCAUCUUCGUGGCGUACGAAGCCGCACGAGAUCGCCCCCACUGACGACCUCAUAGAGAAUACGCCGCGAUCUCUUGCGAUCUCGCUGCCUCCGGGAUCGGCGUCUCUCGCCGCCACCGACCUCCGGGAUCGGCGUCUCUCGCUACCGCCGAGGUACGGGAUCCCGCAUCAUACCAGAGGAGACACUGUCUACGGAGUCCGGGAUCGACGCCGCGGACGUAAGGGAUCACCGUCGCCGACCUUCCAGACGAGACGUCACCGCCGCCGACCUCCGAGGGGAGACGCCGCCGCCACCUGUGGUAAACCCUAGGACAGGGUGGUUUCAACUUUCAACCCCAGGGUAGGUCGACAACUUGUCGAUUUGUUGUUCUUCCCUUAUAAGAUCCUUGAGAUAGGUGCGGCAACUAGCGACACAUGCUGGAGCUUCUGGCGGCGGCAUUACCUGUAUCCACCUCUCCUUGGUCGCCUUUAAGAGUGUGUGCGGUCGACCGUUAAGCUUGUCAUGACGCCCUUUGAAUUUCUGGGCAAGUCACAGCCUUUUCAGAUUCAUCAACACAAGUUACAUCAGUAGUCAAUAUGGUUCAGAUGCAUAAUAUUGCGGGGUGGAAGUUGUCGAUGUUGUUCAAUUGUAUGCUGCCCCUUGAGGGGAAGCCGUGCGUGCGCCCAGUGAGGAGAAGCGGCAAGGGCUCCAGGUGUGAGAGGCUGAAGCUCGGGGACGACAACAUCAUGCACAAGAGGGCAUACAGGAGGUUGUUCGAAUUCAUGUUCCUCAUGCUCUGAAGGACCAAAGGGAUUUGGGUGGUCAACUCUGAAACUUGGAAUUGUCAUUUCUUUUCUGAAAAAUCUGAACUUCUGCAUAUGUCUGUUAUGGCCGGCCGGCUUAGGCCCGCAAGUUAUCUUAGUUUUUAUUUUCAGAUUAGUCAAGUUAUCUUAGGCAAGUUAUCUUAGGUUGAUUCUUCUACAAGUUAUCUAGGAUAUAAAUAUAGGUUGUAAGACUCUUUUUGAAGGCAAGCAAUAAGAAGAAUAUUAUCUCCUAUUGCCCGGCUCCCUGAGGAGCCGGAACCCUAGCCGCCGCCCUUCUCCUAGCCGCGACGGCGCCCUGCCGCCGGCGCGCCCGAUCCUCGCCACGUCUCCCUCCAUCCUUCCCUUACCACCUACGCCCUAGACCUGGUAGAGUACUUGAUCCUACCAAUUUGGUAUCAUGUAACCGGGUUUCGACCAUGUCUCCGCCAAUUCCACCGCCACCACCACCGCUGCCCGCCAACUCCUCCACCACCGCCGCCUCUGCGCCGGGCGUCAUGGCCUCGCUCUCGGCGGGCACCACUGCGUCGCUCUCAGCGCCGGUCCUAACGGCACCCGGCACCACGCCGGGCCAAGGGCAGCCACAGGCCCCCGUCCAACACUCGUCGCCGCCAUCACCUCCCCCGCAGCCGCAACAGUUCACACCGGAGGCCAUGGCGGGCGUCCUCAACGACCUCGUCACCGCGGUUCAAGGGAUCCGCCUCUACCUGGCAGGUCCGUACGGGCCGCCCCCACCACUCCAUCCAGCCAUGGCCGCGGGUCAGCAGGCGCUUCCGUGGUACUCGGCAUCGGGGGCCAUCACCGGACUCCAUCCAGCCAUGGCCGUGGGUCAGCAGGCGCUUCCGUGGU